rnacentral:rRNA from 1 species
CCAAGGCUAAAUACUCCUGACUGACCGAUAGUGAACCAGUACCGUGAGGGAAAGGCGAAAAGAACCCCGGCGAGGGGAGUGAAAAAGAACCUGAAACCGUGUACGUACAAGCAGUGGGAGCACAGGUUUACCUGUGUGACUGCGUACCUUUUGUAUAAUGGGUCAGCGACUUAUAUUCUGUAGCAAGGUUAACCGUAUAGGGGAGCCGGAGGGAAACCGAGUCUUAAUUGGGCGUUAAGUUGCAGGGUAUAGACCCGAAACCCGGUGAUCUAGCCAUGGGCAGGUUGAAGGUUGGGUAACACUAACUGGAGGACCGAACCGACUAAUGUUGAAAAAUUAGCGGAUGACCU